rnacentral:rRNA from 1 species
AGAGUUUGAUCAUGGCUCAGAUUGAACGCUGGCGGCAGGCCUAACACAUGCAAGUCGAGCGGUAGCACAGAAGAGCUUGCUCUUUGGGUGACGAGCGGCGGACGGGUGAGUAAUGUCUGGGAAACUGCCUGAUGGAGGGGGAUAACUACUGGAAACGGUAGCUAAUACCGCAUAACCUCGCAAGAGCAAAGAGGGGGACCUUCGGGCCUCUCGCCAUCAGAUGUGCCCAGAUGGGAUUAGCUAGUAGGUGAGGUAAUGGCUCACCUAGGCGACGAUCCCUAGCUGGUCUGAGAGGAUGACCAGCCACACUGGAACUGAGACACGGUCCAGACUCCUACGGGAGGCAGCAGUGGGGAAUAUUGCACAAUGGGCGCAAGCCUGAUGCAGCCAUGCCGCGUGUGUGAAGAAGGCCUUCGGGUUGUAAAGCACUUUCAGCGAGGAGGAAGGCGGUAAGGUUAAUAACCUUAUCGAUUGACGUUACUCGCAGAAGAAGCACCGGCUAACUCCGUGCCAGCAGCCGCGGUAAUACGGAGGGUGCAAGCGUUAAUCGGAAUGACUGGGCGUAAAGCGCACGCAGGCGGUCUGUUAAGUUGGAUGUGAAAUCCCCGGGCUUAACCUGGGAACUGCAUUCAAAACUGACAGGCUAGAGUCUUGUAGAGGGGGGUAGAAUUCCAGGUGUAGCGGUGAAAUGCGUAGAGAUCUGGAGGAAUACCGGUGGCGAAGGCGGCCCCCUGGACAAAGACUGACGCUCAGGUGCGAAAGCGUGGGGAGCAAACAGGAUUAGAUACCCUGGUAGUCCACGCUGUAAACGAUGUCGAUUUGGAGGUUGUGCCCUUGAGGCGUGGCUUCCGGAGCUAACGCGUUAAAUCGACCGCCUGGGGAGUACGGCCGCAAGGUUAAAACUCAAAUGAAUUGACGGGGGCCCGCACAAGCGGUGGAGCAUGUGGUUUAAUUCGAUGCAACGCGAAGAACCUUACCUACUCUUGACAUCCAGAGAAUUAGCUAGAGAUAGCUGAGUGCCUUCGGGAACUCUGAGACAGGUGCUGCAUGGCUGUCGUCAGCUCGUGUUGUGAAAUGUUGGGUUAAGUCCCGCAACGAGCGCAACCCUUAUCCUUUGUUGCCAGCGAUUCGGUCGGGAACUCAAAGGAGACUGCCGGUGAUAAACCGGAGGAAGGUGGGGAUGACGUCAAGUCAUCAUGGCCCUUACGAGUAGGGCUACACACGUGCUACAAUGGCGUAUACAAAGAGAAGCGACCUCGCGAGAGCAAGCGGACCUCAUAAAGUACGUCGUAGUCCGGAUUGGAGUCUGCAACUCGACUCCAUGAAGUCGGAAUCGCUAGUAAUCGUAGAUCAGAAUGCUACGGUGAAUACGUUCCCGGGCCUUGUACACACCGCCCGUCACACCAUGGGAGUGGGUUGCAAAAGAAGUAGGUAGCUUAACCUUCGGGAGGGCGCUUACCACUUUGUGAUUCAUGACUGGGGUGAAGUCGUAACAAGGUAACCGUAGGGGAACCUGCGGUUG